CUCAUCUCUAUGUUUGUGAUUUUUGCAAAUGUCUUCUUGUUAGUGUAACCACUUUCAUCUUUUCAUUUGUCCUUUAUCUCUCCUGUGUUUGUUGCCCAGAGCUGUGUUAGUCACCCACGCUCGCCCCCUCCGGUCUGUGGCCACCUCCCCCGGGUGCACAGACCAUCGUGACUAGUCAGUCGAGCACUGUAGACUUUCCUACUUCUUCUUCCCUCUCACUUGGUCUCCUUUACUUGGCAGACCUCGCUUGGUCAAAAAGGGGCUAGUACAUGCUAGACCAGCUAAGGGGUAUUUGGCUUGUGAUAUUGUUAAAGAGAGGGCAGGGGAAGAAGCUAUGC